UGAGGCCAAGUGAAGAGCGACAGGGACGCACAGACUUCUGAUUACCGGGCAAGUAAUGCAGUAACACAAGGAGUCUGGCAGCAGGGAAGGAAUCGACAAAGGUGUAAAGCUAUUUUAUAUCUGAUCUUCAGAGUCUCCUGCAUGAAGACACAGUGAACACUAUGUACAGACCUCCUCAAAAUGGCCAAGACAUGUUCCAGGUAUCAUUAAUGAACAGACAGCAAGCAGCUAAAAGCCUGAGUGACAGAAGCCACUAAAGGGGACAGAAUUUCACAGGAUGCAGAGCUGAGAACCACCUUCCCAAGUGCUAAAGAGAACCAGGAGCAUGGUCUCCACCGACUGAAAGAGGAGGAAAUGAUUAUAUAUACGCUAGCGAAUUGGAAAUUGUAGAACAAAUUCACAGUAUAAAUUUAAUAAUAUAAAUAUUUGUAUGUAAUUGUUCUUUUUCAGACCUGACAUGAUUGUAAAGAAAACGUACAAAAUUCGCUCUUUGAAUUUGAAACAAUAUAAAAAAUUUCUACUUUAUUCGUUUUUGUCUCCGUUCCCCCCCCAUCUCCAAGAGAUUCUCCAGAUGAGUCUAUGCCCUACGUGGCGUGCAAGCUGGAUAAAUCUGCGCGCCUAAGGGUGUCACAUGCUACAAAUAGCGAACAUUACUGCUGCUUAAACAUGGCACAUACGAAGCUGCAACACGCCAAGCCACUGUCAGCUUCGGACUGAAGAUUUAGGGUCACCGAUAGGGACUGCACACCUGGGAUUUUACCUCUAGGGGCAAGGACCGCACUGCCAGGGGGUGUUCCAUGAAGCAGGAUUUUUUUUCCUUAGCCAGAUAACUUAAGCCAGAAGUAAGGACUGUCCAAUAGGAAUGCCGCUUACCUCUCCUCCUAUUGGACAGUUUCCAUGUUUGGCUUUGGUUAUCCAGCUAACUGGGAAAUUCUGCUUUGUGGAAACCCCCCCCCUCCAGAUGUGCUUACAAUGCAUUAGAAUUUCGCAAAUACCAGCAUGCAACCGUCAUCGAAACAUCUGACUUCCACGUGUAAAGAGACCCCCCCCCCUCCACGCCCCCAAACUGCCCUAAAGACCCUUGCAGUUAUCAGUUAAAGUAAACAAAGAGUAAAGUCAGCAGGAACACCAAUGACAGUGCGGCCUGCUUUGGACACAGCGGACCGUGAGGACACCGUCCUUGGAGGAGCCCGGGGUGCUUAUUGAUCUGUUGUAACAAGUUGAUCUCCCCUUGCAGAUUGUUCUACAGUACAGCUAAAACAAUACCGCCACUAUCACAAACAGCCAGGAAUAGGUUCAGAAAUGCAAAUGAAAACCAAAUGAAUUUCAACACACAAACCAGUAACAGCUUCUCUGCUAUAUCCAGGGAAAACAGCACUGCUACAGUUCAUGGUAAAACUGAAGCUUGCAUUUAAACCUUAAUUAUUCAUAGUUCUACUACGAAGUUUACAGCUCAACCAAUGUUUCAUAGUUGAACUGUGAUCUCUUGUUUGACACUGAAGUUCACGUCACCUCUUCUGGUGUUUAAUAAUUCUGACAGUGAAGUUAACAGUUCGACUGUAGAUUUCACAGUAGAUAAGUGUGCCAAUUCACUGUAAAAAUUCACGGUUGAACUGUGAAAAAGCAUAGCAAAGCUGUCAAACAGGUUUUCGGUUUUGCUAUGAAAUUUCAGAGGGCAGCGUUUCCUGGGACACCAGUCACCUGCACCAAGGUAUUAGCUGCGACUUCCCCAUCACCACGUUACCUCCCGUCUUUGCUCAGCACUGCUGCC